GGUACCUCAAUAAAAAAAAUUUUUUAAAGAAAAAAAUAUAAAACUCAACAACAAAAAAAAUCACAAAAGAAAUGGUGGAGUGUUGAGCCGCAAGAGGUUGACCCCACUGGGCCCUUGACUUUCUCCCGGAGGCUGAGACAGUCACAGCGCUCUUCAGAAAGAGGACAGAUGAGACCCUGCAGGUGACUCGCCAGGCUCAGGUAUGGCAGAAUCACAGAGUCCGCUGUGCAGACUGAAGAUGCCUGGUGCGCACUGUGAACGGACUAAUGCCUUCUUCAGCGUCC